rnacentral:tRNA from 1 species
GCGGCGGUAGCUCAAUGGUAGAGCCUUAGCCUUCCAAGCUAAUGAUGCGAGUUCAAUUCUCGUCCGCCGCU